rnacentral:lncRNA from 1 species
GAUCUUUAUGUUACUUGUCAAGUUUUUGCAGAAGGGAAGCCUUUGGCCUUGCCAGUGAGAACAUCCUACAAAGCAUUUAGUACAAGAUGGAACUGGAAUGAAUGGCUGAAACUACCAGUAAAAUACCCUGACCUGCCCAGGAAUGCCCAAGUGGCCCUCACCAUAUGGGAUGUGUAUGGUCCCGGAAAAGCAGUGCCUGUAGGAGGAACAACGGUUUCGCUCUUUGGAAAAUACGGCAUGUUUCGCCAAGGGAUGCAUGACUUGAAAGUCUGGCCUAAUGUAGAAGCAGAUGGAUCAGAACCCACAAAAACUCCUGGCAGAACAAGUAGCACUCUCUCAGAAGAUCAGAUGAGCCGUCUUGCCAAGCUCACCAAAGCUCAUCGACAAGGACACAUGGUGAAAGUAGAUUGGCUGGAUAGAUUGACAUUUAGAGAAAUAGAAAUGAUAAAUGAGAGUGAAAAACGAAGUUCUAAUUUCAUGUACCUGAUGGUUGAAUUUCGAUGUGUCAAGUGUGAUGAUAAGGAAUAUGGUAUUGUUUAUUAUGAAAAGGUAUUUCCCUUGGAACUGUUUUUGGUCUCUAAAGUAGAGGGGAGAGGA